rnacentral:rRNA from 1 species
CACGUAGUUAGCCGUGGCUUAUUCAUCAGGUACCGUCACUUGCUUCGUCCCUGAUAAAAGAAGUUUACAACCCGAAAGCCUUCUUCCUUCACGCGGCGUUGCUGGGUCAGGCUUGCGCCCAUUGCCCAAUAUUCCCCACUGCUGCCUCCCGUAGGAGUCCGGGCCGUGUCUCAGUCCCAAUGUGGCCGGUCAACCUCUCAGUCCGGCUACUGAUCGUCGCCUUGGUGGGCCGUUACCCCGCCAACCAGCUAAUCAGACGCGAGUCCAUCUCAGAGCGAUAAAUCUUUGGCAGCCAGAGCCAUGCGGCCCAACUGCAUUAUGCGGUAUUAGCACAUCUUUCGAUGUGUUAUUCCCCACUCCAAGGCAGGUUACUCACGCGUUACUCACCCGUCCGCCACUAGGUAACCUUCUCAAUUGGACGAAUCCUCUUUCAAAGGCACCCCGUUCGACUUGCAUGUGUUAAGCACGCCGCCAGCGUUCAUCCUGAGCCAGGAUCAAACU